rnacentral:lncRNA from 1 species
UGAGUUCAUUUAUUUAUAAAAAAAUGCUCUUUUAUUUUCAUUUAUUUUAGGUUUUUUAUAUAUAUGAUUUAUUUGAAGCUAUUUUACAUAUUAUUUAUUUAAAUUUCUUUUAUAUAUUAUUUAUUAUAAACUUAUAUAUAUCUUUAAAAUUUAUAUAUAUAUUUUAAAAACUAUUUUAUAAGUUAUUUUUUUAUAUUAUUUAUUUUAAAUUUUUUUAUUGUUAUUUAUUUUUAUUU